rnacentral:lncRNA from 1 species
GUUUGCUAGGCCCCAGCAUAGCCUUAUAAGAGACAGCUAUAUCUGGGUCCUUUCAGCAAAAUCUUGCUAGUGUAUGCAAUGGUGUCAGCGUUUGGAAGCUGAUUAUGGAAUGGAUCCCUGGAGAGUUUCAUUUCUUUGGGUAAGAUAGAGGUAGUGUGUGAGUGUGUGUGUAGUGUGAUGAUCCCCCUGUGUGUGUGUGUAUGUGUGUGUAGUAUGAUGAUCCCCCUAUGUGUGUGUAGUGUGAUGAUCCCCCUGUGUGUGUAUGUGUGUGUAUUAUGAUGAUCCCCCUGUGUGUGUGUAGUGUGAUGAUCCCCGUGUGUGUGUGUAGUGUGAUGAUUCCCCUGUGUGUGUGUGUAUGUGUGUGUAGUAUGAUGAUCCCCCUGUGUGUGUAUGUGUGUGUAUGUGUGUGUAUGUGUAGUGUGAUGAUCCCUCUGUGUGUGAGUGUGUGUGUGUAGUGUGAUGAUCCUCCUGUGUGUGUGUGGUGUGAUGAUCCCCCUGUGUGUGUGUGUGUGUGUGUAGUCUGAUGAUCCUCCUAAUCAAGCUUGCUCAAACUGAGCUCACCAUGUAGCAGAGGGUGACCUUGAACUCUUGAGCUCUCUGCCUUCUCCCCAGCUGCUGAGAUUGCAGCCUGUGCUACCAUGGCCUUCAGCUUUCGUUUCCCUUUUCAGACGUUUUCUUGCACUUAAUAAAAAAAUCAUUCUCCAGGUGUGAUGGCGCAUACCUUUAAUCCCA